rnacentral:rRNA from 1 species
UGAGGAAUAUUGGUCAAUGGUCGCAAGACUGAACCAGCCAUGCCGCGUGCAGGAAGACGGUCCUAUGGAUUGUAAACUGCUUUUAUACAGGAAGAAACCCUCCCACGUGUGGGAGCUUGACGGUACUGUAGGAAUAAGGAUCGGCUAACUCCGUGCCAGCAGCCGCGGUAAUACGGAGGAUCCAAGCGUUAUCCGGAAUCAUUGGGUUUAAAGGGUCCGUAGGCGGUCUUAUAAGUCAGUGGUGAAAGCCCAUCGCUCAACGAUGGAACUGCCAUUGAUACUGUAAGACUUGAAUGCUUAGGAAGUAACUAGAAUAUGUAGUGUAGCGGUGAAAUGCUUAGAUAUUACAUGGAAUACCAAUUGCGAAGGCAGGUUACUACUAAGUGAUUGACGCUGAUGGACGAAAGCGUGGGGAGCGAACAGGAUUAGAUACCCUGGUA